rnacentral:rRNA from 1 species
UACGUAGGGGGCGAGCGUUGUCCGGAUUUAUUGGCGUAAGAGCUCGUAGGCGGUUCGAUAAGUCGGACGUGAAAUCUCCACGCUCAACGUGGAGGGGCCGUUCGAUACUGUCGUGACUCGAGUCCGGUAGGGGAGUGUGGAAUUCCCGGUGUAGCGGUGAAAUGCGCAGAGAUCGGGAGGAACACCCGUAGCGAAGGCGGCACUCUGGGCCGGUACUGACGCUGAGGAGCGAAAAGCGUGGGGGAGCAAACAGGG